UAGCAAAAAAGUUCAUUAGCUUUUGUUUUAAUUUAGUGGACAAACAUACAUUUAUGUUAUCAUUUGUCUUUAGUUUUUACUGAUAUGUGUAGUCACUAACCUUAAUACACACAUCAUUUGUGGUCAUACUGCAUUAUCUGUCUGUAGCAUAGGUCUGUGAUAUAAAGCUGAAUUACUUCCUCUAGAGAAAGUUUUCCUUAAAUGCUGUGGAAAUGAAACAUUCACUCUGUUUCUGCCAACCACUUACAGGAAAACAAGAAAAUAGUGCAACUACUUUUUCUUUUUCUCUUUCCAAAAUUAGAAAUUUAGCUAGUUUCAUUCUUUUUUCCCCAAAUAUUUUUAGUUUUCAUCCCUCUCAUCAAAACAAUUAAAAAAAGUACAGAAAUGCACCCUGAUGACAGCAACAGAGUGAGGAUGCUACUGAUAUAGAAAUAAUGUAAGUUUGAGACCAUAAACACCUUCACUGGGCACAUGGAAAAGAGGGAGGUGAUACAGGAUAACCAGCACAGCUUCACCAAGGGCAGGUCCUGUGUGAUCAAUCUAGUGGCCUUCUGUGAUGGCAUUACUGUGUCAGUGGACAAGCGGAGAGACACCAGGGUCAUCUUUCUGGACUCCAGCAAGUCUCAGACAUGAUCCCCCACAACAUCCUUCAAUAGAUGAGGAACUGGUUGGGAAAUUGUACCCAGAGUGGUGGCCAAUGGCUCAAUGUCUAGCUGGAGAUCAGUGAAAAGUGGUAUUCCUCAAGGGUCAGAACUGGGAUCAGUGCUCUUUCUUCAUCAGUGACAUUGACAGUGGGAUCAAGUGCACCCUCAGCAAGUUUGAGGAUGACAUAGAGCUGUGUGGUGUGGUCAACAUGCCUGAGGGAUGGGAUGCCAUCCAGAGAGCCCUAGACUGGAUCAAGUAGUGGGACCGGGUGAAUCAUGAGGUUACACAACUCCAAGUGUGAGGUCUUUGUGCCUGGGUUUUGGCAACCUCCGCUAUCAGUACAAGCUGGGGGAUGUAAUGAUAGAGCACAGCCCUGCUGAAAAGAACUUGGGGAUACUGGUGGAUGGCAGCUGGACAUGAGCCAGCAGUGCGCCUUCAUAGCCCAGAAAGCCAACCACACCCUGGGCUGCAUCAAAAGCGUGGACAGCAGGUUUAGCGAGGUGAUCCUGCCCCUCUACUCUGCACUGUGAGACCUCACGUGGAGUACUGCGUCCACAUGUGGAGUCUUCAGUACAGGAGAGAUGUGGACCUGUUGGAGUGUGUCCAGAGGAGGGCCACAAAAAUGAACCAAAGCAUGGAACAUCUCUGUGAGGACUGGCUGAGAGAGCUGGGGCUGUUCAGCCUGGAGAAGAGAAGGCUCUGGGGGGAGCAGUAUCUAAAGGGGGGCUAUAAGAAGGAAAGGGACAGACCCUUUAGCAGGGUCUGUGGUGAUAGGACAAGCAGAAAUGGUUUCCAACUAAAAGGGGAGAUUUAGAUUGGAUAUAAGAAAAAAGGUUGUUUACAAUAAGGGUGGUGAGGCAGUGGCACAGGUCACCCAGAGGUGAUGGAUGCCCCAUCCCUGGAGACAGCCAAGAAAUGUGUAGAUGUAGCACUGAGGGACAAGGUCAGUGGGCAUGGUGGGGAUGGGCUGAUGGUUGGACUAGGUGAUCUUAGGGGUCUCUUGCAACCUUAAUGAUUCUAUGUCUACAGCACAGAGGCUUGGUUACUCACUGCUUGCAAACGUGCUAGCAUUCUUCUCACCUCCAGCAGCAGUUUCUUAUUCACAUUGAAUUUCAGUGAGUACAGUAAAUCCCCCGUUCAGCCUCUACCAUUUUUCUGGUUACACGUUUUGGAAGAACGAACAGAACUGCGACUCUGCACUCCAGACACACAGGAAGAAAUGGCCACUGCUGGCAACUACGGUGUGCCCAUGGCAGAACGCUUCCUACUCAGGAUAUAGCAAGUAUUGCAAAACCCUGACCUGAAGUAUUUUAAGUCAGGCAGCAUUCACCUUAAAUUAAACUCAAACAGCUGUCCAUUGGGCAAGUAGAGCAAGAGUGAUGGCAAAGCCUUAUUUUCCUGAUUUGUAUUUCAG
ensembl:lncRNA